GAUGAAGAACGUAGCGAAAUGCGAUAAGUAAUGCGAAUUGCAGAAUUCCAGUGAGUCAUCGAAUCUUUGAACGCACAUUGCGCCCUUUGGUAUUCCGAAGGGCAUGCCUGUUCGAGCGUCAUUAUCACCCCUCAAGCCCUCGGCUUGGUGUUGGACGGUUUGGUGGAGGCCCCCUCGGGGGCUCCUGCCCCUCCCAAAGACAAUGACGGCGGCCUCGUUGGACCCCCGGUACACUGAGUUCUUCACGGGACACGUAUCGGACACAUGGGUUUACGGGACACGGUCUGCCUCCCCUCAGGGAGAAUCUUUCUAAGGUUGACCUCGGAUCAGGUAGGAAUACCCGCUGAACUUAAGCAUAUCAAUAAGCGGAGGA
rnacentral:misc_RNA from 1 species